rnacentral:lncRNA from 1 species
CCCUUCCCGGGGACGGGACGCUGGGACCCACCGAUGAAGGACGGCUGGAACAGGGUCUCUGGGCAGCGGAAGCGCUCGUUCCCGAUGGUGAUCACCUGCCCGUCGGGCAGCUCGUAGCUCUUCUCAAGGGAGGAGGAGGACGCGGCUGUGGCCAUCUCAUUUUCAAAGUCUAGAGCUACAUAGCACAGCUUCUCCUUGAUGUCCCGGACAAUCUCACGCUCGGCUGUCAACAUACAGACACGAGGGUUUGCGCCUGUGCUAAAAACCCACCUGCCUCACAUCAGUCUCUCCCGCGGUGUGGGUUCACGGGGUGUAAGUUCGCCAUUCUGCAGCCCCACGUCCGCGAUGGUAAUGAAACUAUAGAGGGUCCCUGAGGGAGCCACUCUGUCCCUGGCAGAAUGGUGGGCUCGUGGAAAAGACCGUCCGGGAAAUGCAGGGCAGGAGUGAAAGGAGCGAGCCAGAGAAAGGCGCAGAGGAGGGCAGCCUUCUGUACCUUAUGUUUUCUUUUUCUCGGGAGCAACGAUUCCCUCUCUGUUAUAAGUGUUUUAUACUAGUUUGUCACAUUGGAUUUUCGGUUGACCAGGAAGUCUUAUGCUGAAAUCUUAUGCUUUGGGGCCCCCGCGGUUUUCAAAAAGCUCCACAGAUCCACGGCGCUUGGCCCAGUAGCUACGCCACUGGAGUAUCCAUUACCUUCCAGAAGGAGGCAGGCCCUGGCUCAGGACCAGUCCUAGACCAGAAGGCUCAGAGAUGCAUGCUGAAGGAGGUGUGGAGGAAGCAGACGGCCAGUCCCUUCCAGACUCCUGCACUUGGAACUUCUAAGCUAUGGGUUCCAUCCAGGCCCCUGGAACCUUUGGGAGAUAUUCUGGGGUUCUUUGCAGGGAGAAGAGGAAUGUAGGAAUUAAUUCACCUCCCUACCCCAGAAGGAAGCCUGAACAUCCACAGGGCUCAAGCUCAGAGUCUAUAAUAAACGUGAGGCAUGUCCAGAAACUGAGACAUUUGGGCAGUACCUGAUCGAUGAGUGGAGGGAAGGCGGUUAGGGCCGUGCGCACCGAGGACAUCCCAACGUGUCUAGC